GACGAACGCUGGCGGCGUGCUUAACACAUGCAAGUCGAACGGAAAGGCCCUGCUUGCAGGGUACUCGAGUGUCGAACGGGUGAGUAACACGUGGGUGAUCUGCCCUGCACUUCGGGAUAAGCCUGGGAAACUGGGUCUAAUACCGGAUAGGAGCCAUUUUUAGUGUGAUGGUUGGAAAGUUUUUUCGGUGUAGGAUGAGCUCGCGGCCUAUCAGCUUGUUGGUGGGGUAAUGGCCUACCAAGGCGGCGACGGGUAGCCGGCCUGAGAGGGUGGACGGCCACAUUGGGACUGAGAUCCGGCCCAGACUCCUACGGGAGGCAGCAGUGGGGAAUAUUGCACAAUGGGCGCAAGCCUGAUGCAGCGACGCCGCGUGGGGGAUGACGGCCUUCGGGUUGUAAACUCCUUUCGCUAGGGACGAAGCUUUUUGUGACGGUACCUAGAUAAGAAGCACCGGCUAACUACGUG
rnacentral:rRNA from 1 species